rnacentral:snRNA from 1 species
GGGCUUACUUUUCAGUACAUAUACUAAAAGUAAAAUAAUAGAAGAUUAGCAUGGCCCCUGCCAAGGAUAGCACUGAAAUUUGUGAAGUGUUCCAUAUUUUU